rnacentral:rRNA from 1 species
AAUGGGGGGAACCCUGAUCCAGCCAUGCCGCGUGUGUGAAGAAGGCCUUUUGGUUGUAAAGCACUUUAAGCGAGGAGGAGGAGCUCUUGGUUAAUACCCAAGAUGCUUGGACGUUACUCGCAGAAUAAGCACCGGCUAACUCUGUGCCAGCAGCCGCGGUAAUACAGAGGGUGCAAGCGUUAAUCGGAUUUACUGGGCGUAAAGCGCGCGUAGGUGGCCAAUUAAGUCAAAUGUGAAAUCCCCGAGCUUAACUUGGGAAUUGCAUUCGAUACUGGUUGGCUAGAGUAUGGGAGAGGAUGGUAGAAUUCCAGGUGUAGCGGUGAAAUGCGUAGAGAUCUGGAGGAAUACCGAUGGCGAAGGCAGCCAUCUGGCCUAAUACUGACACUGAGGUGCGAAAGCAUGGGGAGCAAACAGGAUUAGAUACCCUGGUAGUCCAUGCCGUAAACGAUGUCUACUAGCCGUUGGGGCCUUUGAGGCUUUAGUGGCGCAGCUAACGCGAUAAGUAGACCGCCUGGGGAGUACNGUCGCAAGACUA